rnacentral:rRNA from 1 species
UACGUAGGGGGCGAGCGUUGUCCGGAGUUACUGGGCGUAAAGGGCGUGUAGGCGGUUGGAUAAGUCUGGCGUGAAAUUCUACGGCUCAACCGUGGAGCUGCGCUGGAAACUGUCUGACUGGAGUGUCGGAGGGGUGACUGGAAUUCCCGGUGUAACGGUGAAAUGUGUAGAUAUCGGGAGGAACACCUGUGGCGAAGGCGGGUCACUGGACGAUAACUGACGCUGAUACGCGAAAGCGUGGGUAGCAAACAGG